rnacentral:rRNA from 1 species
ACGAACGCUGGCGGCGUGCUUAACACAUGCAAGUCGAACGGAAAGGCCUGCUUUCCCUUGUGGAUUGCGGGUACUCGAGUGGCGAGCGGGUGAGUAACACGUGAGUGAUCUGCCCCCAACUUGGGUAUAAGCCUGGGAAACUGGGUCUAAUUCCCGAUAGGACUGCAGGGUGGUGCCUGUGGUGGAAAACGAUUUUCUAGUGGUUGGGGAUGAGCUCGCGGCCUAUCAGCUUGUUGGUGGGGUAAUGGCCUACCAAGGCGGCGACGGGUAGCCGGCCUGAGAGGGUGGACGGCCACAUUGGGACUGAGAUACGGCCCAGACUCCUACGGGAGGCAGCAGUGGGGAAUAUUGCACAAUGGGCGGAAGCCUGAUGCAGCGACGCCGCGUGGGGGAUGACGGCCUUCGGGUUGUAAACUCCUUUCGACCGCGAGGAAGCCACCUGGUUGGAAGGGUGGUGACGGUAGUGGUAGAAGAAGCACCGGCUAACUACGUG